GCUAAUACCGCAUACGUCCUACGGGAGAAAGCAGGGGACCUUCGGGCCUUGCGCUAUCAGAUGAGCCUAGGUCGGAUUAGCUAGUUGGUGAGGUAAUGGCUCACCAAGGCGACGAUCCGUAACUGGUCUGAGAGGAUGAUCAGUCACACUGGAACUGAGACACGGUCCAGACUCCUACGGGAGGCAGCAGUGGGGAAUAUUGGACAAUGGGCGAAAGCCUGAUCCAGCCAUGCCGCGUGUGUGAAGAAGGUCUUCGGAUUGUAAAGCACUUUAAGUUG
rnacentral:rRNA from 4 species